AUUAUAGUACACUUAACCAACAGCCGCAUGUGCGUUGUUUUUGUUGACAUUAUACUAAUAUUGUUAUAAGUAUAAAAGUGGGAUCAUAGCGGAUUUGUGUUGAAGUGCGCGUCUGACAGUGCCGGAGACGUGAAACGAGCUAAGCUAAAUUAAGCUAAACUAAGGUACGCUACGCUAAGCUAAGCUAGAAAGUGGAUAGCGGUCCUAACAGCAUUAAGUAACCGCGGUGGAGUAGCGUGUUUAGCUGACGGGAUUUAGGCAGCUACAGGCGGGCAGUGAGAGUCACACAGCGAGCUGGUGUGCAGGAGCUGCAGUUAAACAGUGCACUCUGUUAUUCACUGAUCACUCACACAGGCACAGAAGUGCUGAAGGCGUUUAGCUCACUGAACGCUACACCUGCACGCCGGCUUUUUAUGACUAGGAUUAUAAGUGAAUGUUCCAGUGUUAGAGCACUAACGCUAGCAAAACUAGUCGGGACAAACCAGCUAGAGCUUAGCUGACGUUUUAAUCAACCGGUGUCGAAGCUCAGUAGAUAACGGCAGAGUUUGGAGUUUUUACUGCUUUGAAUGCACACGUAAAGACACGAUGAGCCUCCAGGAGCAGCACGGAGCGUCAUCAUCAUCAUCGUUAUCCUCCUCGUCCUCCUCAGCUAGGCGCUCAAACUGUCGAGCCAAAUCUCACUAGCCAGUCAGAUUUCCCCUGUGAAGACAUUUGACAUGCAUGUUACGAAGGAUAAGCCAACGUAAAGAUCAGAGAGCUGUCUCUGGGUGACGAGCAGACCAUUUUGAAGCUAAGAAAAGAGGGAAAAUCAAUCCGAGACAUCGCAUAAGCAUUGGGCAUAGCCAAUACAACAAUUUGGAAUGUCCUGAAAAAGAAUGAAACCACUGGUGUACUGAGCAACAGACAGCGAAACAUUGUGAGAGCUGUGAAGACAACCCCCAAAAUAACACUUAGUGACGCCAUCAAUAACCUCCACAGGGUUGAUGGUAUCACAAACCACCAUUUGAAGAAGACUUCAAGAGCAGAAAUGUAGAGGCCAUACAAUUCUAUAAUAUGAAAACCACUCAUCAGCUGUAAGAAUCUGAAGGCCACAUUGGAAUUCGCAGAGAAAUACAGAGAUGAGCCACAAAAGUUCUGGAGCCAAGAUUAACCCCUACCAAAGUGUGGAGAAGGAAAGGAUCUGCUCAUGAUCCAAAACAUGUAAGCUCAUCUGUGAAACAUGGUGUUGGUAGUGUCAUGACUUACAUGACUGCUUCUGGAGCAGGAUCACUAAUCUUUAUUCAUGAAGUAACUCAUGAUGUUAAAAGCAGAAUGAAAUCAGAAGUUUACAGGAACAUUCUGUCUGCCAGUUCACAGAGAAAUGCAUCCAAAUUAAUCAGGAGGAACUUUAUCAUGCAGCAAGAUAAUGAUCCAAAAACACACUGCCAACUCAACAAAGGACUUCAUCAGGGGGGAAAGUGGAAGGUUUUAGACUGGCAGUUUCAAUCACCAAACCGUAACCCUAUUGAGCACAACUGAAAGAAGCUGCGGUAAAAUCCUGGAAAAGCAUCACAAAAGAAGAACCCCCAAAAUCUGGUGAUAUCAGUGAGUCGCAG
ensembl:lncRNA